UACAGAGGGUGCAAGCGUUAAUCGGAGUUACUGGGCGUAAAGGGCGCGUAGGUGGUUGUGUAAGUGAGAUGUGAAAUCUCUGGGCUCAACCCAGAGUCUGCAUAGGAAACUGUCGGGCUUGAGUAUGGGAGAGGUGAGUGGAAUUUCCGGUGUAGCGGUGAAAUGCGUAGAUAUCGGAAGGAACACCUGUGGCGAAAGCGGCUCACUGGACCAUUACUGACGCUGAUGCACGAAAUCUAGGGGAGCAAACAGG
rnacentral:rRNA from 1 species